GACGUAGGGCGCGAGCGUUGUCCGGAUUUAUUGGGCGUAAAGAGCUCGUAGGCGGCUUGUUGCGUCAGCUGUGAAAACCCGCAGCUCAACUGCGGGCCUGCAGCCGAUACGGGCAGGCUAGAGUUCGGUAGGGGGAGACUGGAAUUCCUGGUGUAGCGGUGAAAUGCGCAGAUAUCAGGAGGAACACCUAUGGCGAAGGCAGCUCGCUGGGACGUUACUGACGCUGAGACGCGAAAGCGUGGGGGAGCAAACAGG
rnacentral:rRNA from 1 species